CCUACGGGGGGCUGCAGUGGGGAAUAUUGGACAAUGGGGGCAACCCUGAUCCAGCCAUGCCGCGUGUGUGAAGAAGGCCCUCGGGUUGUAAAGCACUUUCAGUGAGGAAGAACGCCUGGUGGUUAAUACCCAUCAGGAAAGACAUCACUCACAGAAGAAGCACCGGCUAACUCCGUGCCAGCAGCCGCGGUAAUACGGAGGGUGCGAGCGUUAAUCGGAAUUACUGGGCGUAAAGCGCGCGUAGGUGGCUUGAUAAGCCGGUUGUGAAAGCCCCGGGCUCAACCUGGGAACGGCAUCCGGAACUGUCAAGCUAGAGUGCAGGAGAGGAAGGUAGAAUUCCCGGUGUAGCGGUGAAAUGCGUAGAGAUCGGGAGGAAUACCAGUGGCGAAGGCGGCCUUCUGGACUGACACUGACACUGAGGUGCGAAAGCGUGGGUAGCAAACAGGAUUAGAUACUCCUGUAGUC
rnacentral:rRNA from 1 species